rnacentral:rRNA from 1 species
UAUAGAGGUCUCAAGCGUUGUUCGGAUUCAUUGGGCGUAAAGGGUGUGUAGGUGGCGCCGUAAGUCGGGUGUGAAAUUUCGGAGCUUAACUCCGAAACUGCAUUCGAUACUGCGGUGCUUGAGGACUGGAGAGGAGACUGGAAUUCAUGGUGUAGCAGUGAAAUGCGUAGAGAUCAUGAGGAAGACCAGUGGCGAAGGCGGGUCUCUGGACAGUUCCUGACACUGAGACACGAAGGCCAGGGGAGCAAACGGG